GGGACACACCAUAAGGGAGGGAAAAGCUGCUGCAAAACUUGCAAGCCUUAGCUUGGAUCCCAUCGUGCUGCUCACAGACAGCUGAUGCGCAGCGCUCGGGCUACUGAGACCCAGAUCCCUCUCUCAUGUUAUGCUGUGUUGAAGCCUCUAGGACAACAUUUUGGCCUGGAUUCAGGAAGCCUGUUAAGGAUUUCAGCCCGGAGAGGUUGGAGGCCGGGAUGGGCGAGAUGGAGCUGGGCUGGGAACAGCCGUGUGGUGAGGUUGCAGGAGGCUGCAGGACCUUCCCAGCAGGACAACCUCUGUGUCUGUCCGGCCCUCCAUCCAGCCCUGCUGUGUCCCGAGGGCUGCAGGAGACAUGAGCUCACUGCUGAGACGUGCCAAACCAAGCCCGCCGGGCGAGGCUGCUCCCAGCUCCACGCUGACAUCUGCCAGAGAUUUCCAGCACUGCUGUCUCGCUGCUUCUCUGCAGAACGCAGCCCCUGAGCGUCCCAACAUCCUGCUCCUCCUCUGGGCCAGAGGCAUCCACAUCUACAUCCCCAUUGCUAUCCCAAUCCACAUCCCCAUCCCCACCUGCAUCCCCAUCCCCGCCCACAUCAGCAUCCUAACACCUGAACUGGUUGCCAUAGAAACCACAGGUCUGUCUGUCUGCCCGUGCCAGGGGUCAAUGCGCUGCUCCCCCUGGCACAGCUAUUUGUGGUCCACAGACAGGGAAACAGGGGCACGCUGGAGGCAUGGAGCAUCCACACAAGGAGGACGGUGCAUCCUGGGAGUGAAUGGGAAAGUGUAGCUCUGCCAGAAGUUAUAGCAUUUGGGACAUCAACGUGAGCAGAGGGCGAAAGCUGGAAAUCAUUACAUGGCACAACAGAAGGCAAAACAUUCACCUGGAGAAGGCAAUUAGCUCAGCAGGUCUUUUAGUGUCAUUAAGGGAUUAUUGUCCUGUUAUUACAUGUCCCAUCAUUAAGGGAUUAUUGUCUCAGUGGUUCCUUGACCUCCUGGGCAUGGCUGGAUGGUGUCACAUCAGACCCCAUAGAAGGUGUUGUUAGGGUGGGUGGGGUAGUGUGAGUUGUCCUCUCUUUCAGAGACCACCAGCAAGGCAAAUUGUUGCGUUAGGGAUGUGACCAAUUGGUUUGGAGGUGUCCAAGGCCAAGUUGAAUGGGAAACCUCAUCCAGUGCUUGAUCAAGCAGUCUGCAACCCUGCCUACGGCAUGGAGAUUGGAAGUGGACAGUCUCUGGGGUCCCUUCCAACACAAGCCAUUCUAUGAUUUCUUGCCCACGUGGUCCUAUGGGCAUCCCAGUGACCAUAUAUAGCCAACUCUCUGCUCUCCACCUCCUAUAAAAGAUGCUGGCUGCUGGUUUCCGUGCUGCCAGCCGUCCCGGAGCUGUGCGUUCUGCAUUUCCCUUUUAGGAAGCAAGAUUCUUGGACAUAGGGCAGUAAAAAGAAAACAUCUCUCAGCUCUUAUUUAUCACCUCUCCUUAUAACUGACCACUCUCUAAAUAGAGGGACCGCUUGCAGCCCAGGAGUGCAGCACAACGGAGCCAGAGGUGCCUUUGGCCCCUGCUGUCCUGGAUGGACUUCCAUGCAGAUCUCCCCACCUCGCUGCUAUUUAUGGGGUCAGCUCCAGGCAAGGAACCCAGCUGAAGUCCUGGUGCUUACUGCUCACCGGCCAAGCCAAACAGCGGAGUGAUGCAAUAUUGCACAAACUUUCCAGCCAGGGAAAUUAAUCUUUGCAAUAGAGG
ensembl:lncRNA